rnacentral:piRNA from 1 species
GUGAUGGUUAGCAGAGCCUAUGUAUUCUAUC